rnacentral:rRNA from 1 species
CAGUCGCCACGGGAAUACGAAGGGGGCUAGCGUUGUUCGGAUUUACUGGGCGUAAAGGGCGCGUAGGCGGACUUCUCAGUCAGGGGUGAAAUCCCAAGGCUCAACCUUGGAACUGCCUUUGAUACUGGAAGUCUUGAGUUCGAGAGAGGUAAGUGGAACUGCGAGUGUAGAGGUGAAAUUCGUAGAUAUUCGCAAGAACACCAGUGGCGAAGGCGGCUUACUGGCUCGAUACUGACGCUGAGGCGCGAAAGCGUGGGGAGCAAACAGGAUUAGAUACCCGCGUAGUCCCUGUCUCUUAUAC